CAGCACCUCAAGUGGUCAGGAUGAUUAUUGGGCCUAAAGCAUCCGUAGCCGGCGCUGUAAGUUUUCGGUUAAAUCUGUACGCUCAACGUACAGGCUGCCGGGAAUACUGCAGCGCUAGGGAGUGGGAGAGGUAGACGGUACUCGGUAGGAAGGGGUAAAAUCCUUUGAUCUAUUGAUGACCACCUGUGGCGAAGACGGUCUACCAGAACACGUCCGACGGUGAGGGAUGAAAGCUGGGGGAGCAAACCGGAUUAGAUACCCGUGUAGUCC
rnacentral:rRNA from 1 species